rnacentral:rRNA from 1 species
CCUACGGGAGGCAGCAGUGGGGAAUAUUGGGCAAUGGGCGCAAGCCUGAACCAGUAACGCCGCGUGAAGGAAGACGGCUCUCGGGUUGUAAACUUUCUUUAAGAGGGAAGAGCAGAAGACGGUACCUCUUGAAUAAGCCACGGCUAACUACGUGCCAGCAGCCGCGGUAAUGCGUAGGUGGCAAGCGUUGUCCGGAUUUACUGGGUGUAAAGGGCGUGCAGCCGGGAAGACAAGUCAGAUGUGAAAUCCCGCGGCUCAACCGCGGAACUGCAUGUGAAACUGUUUUUCUUGAGUACCGGAGAGGUCAUCGGAAUUCCUGGUGUAGCGGUGAAAUGCGUAGAUAUAAGGAAGAACACCAGUGGCGAAGGCAGAUGACUGGACGGCAACUGACGGUGAGGCGCGAAAGCGUGGGGAGCAAACAGGAUUAGAUACCCCUGUAGUC